AUUGAACGCUGGCGGAAUGCUUUACACAUGCAAGUCGAACGGCAGCACGGGGCAACCUGGUGGCGAGUGGCGAACGGGUGAGUAAUACAUCGGAACGUGCCCAAUCGUGGGGGAUAACGUAGCGAAAGUUACGCUAAUACCGCAUACGAUCUACGGAUGAAAGCGGGGGAUCGCAAGACCUCGCGCGAAUGGAGCGGCCGAUGUCAGAUUAGGUAGUUGGUGGGGUAAAGGCGCACCAAGCCAACGAUCUGUAGCUGGUCUGAGAGGACGACCAGCCACACUGGGACUGAGACACGGCCCAGACUCCUACGGGAGGCAGCAGUGGGGAAUUUUGGACAAUGGGCGCAAGCCUGAUCCAGCCAUUCCGCGUGCAGGAUGAAGGCCUUCGGGCUGUAAACUGCUUUUGUACGGAACGAAACGGCUCUCUCUAAUACAGGGGGCUAAUGACGGUACCGUAAGAAUAAGCACCGGCUAACUACGUGCCAGCCGCCGCGGUAACAC
rnacentral:rRNA from 1 species